GAGAGAGGUCCCUUAUUAGUGGAUUCAUCAUCUAUGUAAGAAAUGAGUUCUUGUUCUCUUUCCACCAAAUGAGGAAAGGAGAAGACAGUCACCUUGGAUCAGGAGAGGCCUCAGAAAGAACAUAAUGUUUUUGUGAGCUUUCAGCCUUCAGAACUCCCUACCUGUGAGAAGCCUUUACCUGGCUCCUUUGCAUUUUGAGCCCAAUGUGCAGAUGAAUUUCCAAACCCAUGCUCAGAAUAAUCCUUCUCAGCUGCUGUCAUUCAUAAGUGAUCAAUAGCAAAGCCCUGUAAACAGAAAGAGCUUCCUCACUGACCAACCAUUCAAGGAAGAACAAAGGAAGAGGAAGAAAGUGAGGAAGACCCCUCCCACCAGGGUGUGUGACAAGAGUUUUCAGAGUCAAGAGGACCCUCAAUGUGAUAUCUUGGAUGGGAUCCUGAAACAGAGACAGAAUGAGGCUCAAGGAAAAGACUCAGGAUUCAAAGAGAUUACAAGACAAUACCUGGAGACAAAAAGCAGACUGGCUGUGCACAAGAAAGCAAGGAAGUGUAAGGUAAAAAGCAUUACAGGGAGGAGAGAGAACACUAGAAGCAUCAGCAAAUAAAGCAAGUAUGAGUAAGCCCUUUCCUCUUGGCCUCUCAAUACAAUCUCAAACUGAGGAAAA